rnacentral:lncRNA from 1 species
UGUGAAUACCUCUCACCCAACCCUGCCUCUGUAACUGAACUUGUAUACUCCUUGCCCCUACCCUCCAGCACUGUAACUGAACUUACUCUGCAGCACCCCCACCCCCCAAAAAAACUACCCAAAUCUAUAACACUGCCCUUUGCUAAUGCCCUUUUCAGCCUUAGCCCACCUGCACCCAGGCGAAUAAACAGCCAUGUUGCUCACACAAAGCCUGUUUGGAAGGUCGCUUCAUUCAAAGCGCGUGUUUUUUCAACAUUUGGUGCUGAAACCCGGCACAGGGGAACUCCUACAGAAGACCAAACCCCCGACCCUGUUCUUGUGCUCCUCCAUGAAGAGAUCUACCUACUGACCUGGGGUCAUCAGACCAGCCCACAGACACACACCACUGGCUAUUUUGGCAUAGUGCUAGCCGUGGAGACCAGAGUGGUGGGCAACGCAGACGCGACCCUGUCGUCACAGAACUUAGAGUUUAGAGAAGAUGGACAAUGCUGCGAAGCAGUAGGAAGUGCCCCGCAGUCUGACUACUUCAGCAGAGAGACUGGCCUUAUGGCGGGAGACCCCGGCGCUCAGGCAGGGCGGGGCGCGCUGCGGGUGUCCAGGGUGCGGAGACUGUGA